rnacentral:misc_RNA from 1 species
GUGGGAGGGGGCUUGCCCCCGAUAGCAGAGUGUCAGUCAGCAACUUUUCAGCUGACCCACCGCUAUCGGGGGCAAGCCCCCUCCCAC